AGACUAGCAAAGCUGACUAAUGUGAGGCCGCACCCUAAAAGUACUGUGUGUGUUGACCCCGAAGGCUUAGUAAGACAUCGCGAUCCUGGUCAUUUGGGCGCAUUGAGUCAUGGCCCAACAGAUUUACUCCGUUAUUAAAUUAGAAGAAGCCAACAGAAGAGUGGCCCAUGUGCAUGGACAGGGCUGGAGUGAUUCUUGCUUCAACAGCAGUCCCUUCAACCUUGCUUGAAUGGAGGCUGCGUAGAUCACAAGCUCCGCAGACUACAAGAUAUCUUUGCUCAGAAGGAACCACAAGGUCACUGACAGCUAAACUCAACAUUGUUCCCCCGCAUAUCAAAGCUGAGCAGAGUUGUAAAUUGUUUCAACUUAUGAAUAGAACUCCACUGAACCGCACCAUAGCUAUAGAGUUGACCUGCAGUUUUACCCUGCUAAGGGAGUUAUUUUGUAGUGACAAAACUUUUCUUCUGGUGGCCUGACACAUCAUAGGACUUGGAGGUUGGGAAUUCUUCCUUCCCAUCAAAUGUUGGUUCUAAAUCCACAGAACUGUUUGAGAAUCCAGACACAAAAUUAUGAUACUAUUGGUGAUUUGAUUUGAAAAGAUGAAAGAGAUUGACAGCACAAAAAUUUUAAAUAUAAUCUUUAAAGGAAGAUACACACAAGGAAAAGGCAACUGCCUUAGACACUGGCAUGUCCAAAUGUAAUGACUAGACCUGCUGCAGCCAUCUUGCAACCAGAGAGGAGGCAACUUAAAAACAAAGCCAACACAAUGAAAUGACUCAGAAGAAAGUGGAAAGACCUGAGUACUUGUUGAUGCUAUUGAGCUGAUGAAUUAAACCUGGAGUAUACCAACUAUGGGCUUCUUUUCAUCUAGAUUCUAAGAAAUCAAUAAAAAUAUAUAUUAAAGACAAACAAAUAAAAACCUUCCAAACAAAGGAAGUGCCCUCUCUUCUCUCCUGCGUGCUGGGUUCCUGGCUCUCCUAUGACGGGAAUACAUUCCCCAGUGCCCACGUGAUGCUCAGCCAUGUUGGACUCUACACUGGACUAAUAGACUUGAAUUAGCUUGGAUGCUGAACUACACCUGGCUGGAACAUGGAAUGGAAGCCCUGGACACUGGCCCUGUUUUUGGCUCUGCUGAACACCCAGCUGCCCCUCUUUCAGGACCGGCUUAGUGGAAAUGGGACAUUGGAAACUAAAAAGUGUAACUCCACAUCAAUAAAAUUUUCGACCACCUCUCAUCAUCCCGUGGGGGCUUCUGAAAAUUCUUAUUUCAGCAGUGCCUCAGGAACCCCACUUCCAUGAACAACAGAGAAAUUCCACUCGUGUACUCCUCCAGCAGCAAUAUGAGGGAAACUAAUAAAAGAGUUAUUUUAGUA